rnacentral:rRNA from 1 species
AUUGAACGCUGGCGGCAGGCCUAACACAUGCAAGUCGAACGGUAACAGGAAGCAGCUUGCUGCUAUGCUGACGAGUGGCGGACGGGUGAGUAAUGUCUGGGAAACUGCCUGAUGGAGGGGGAUAACUACUGGAAACGGUAGCUAAUACCGCAUAACGUCGCAAGACCAAAGAGGGGGACCUUCGGGCCUCUUGCCAUCGGAUGUGCCCAGAUGGGAUUAGCUAGUAGGUGGGGUAACGGCUCACCUAGGCGACGAUCCCUAGCUGGUCUGAGAGGAUGACCAGCCACACUGGAACUGAGACACGGUCCAGACUCCUACGGGAGGCAGCAGUGGGGAAUAUUGCACAAUGGGCGCAAGCCUGAUGCAGCCAUGCCGCGUGUAUGAAGAAGGCCUUCGGGUUGUAAAGUACUUUCAGCGGGGAGGAAGGGAGUAAAGUUAAUACCUUUGCUCAUUGACGUUACCCGCAGAAGAAGCACCGGCUAACUCCGUG